AACGAACGCUGGCGGCAUGCCUAACACAUGCAAGUCGAACGAGACUUCGGUCUAGUGGCGGACGGGUGAGUAACGCGUAGGAACCUGCCAAGCAGUGGGGAAUAACAGCUGGAAACGGCUGCUAAUACCGCAUACGCCCUUCGGGGGAAAGAUUUAUCGCUGUUUGAGGGUCCUGCGUUCGAUUAGCUAGUUGGUGAGGUAACGGCCCACCAAGGCGACGAUCGAUAGCUGGUCUGAGAGGAUGAUCAGCCACACUGGGACUGAGACACGGCCCAGACUCCUACGGGAGGCAGCAGUGGGGAAUAUUGGACAAUGGGAGAAACCCUGAUCCAGCAAUGCCGCGUGCGUGAAGAAGGCCUUAGGGUUGUAAAGCGCUUUCACCUGUGAUGAUGAUGACAGUAGCAGGAGAAGAAGCCCCGGCUAACUCCGUG
rnacentral:rRNA from 1 species